AUUUCUGUGUUUCUUUAAAUGUAGGAAUGCAUGCCUUGUUAAGUUGUUUAAACCAUGUUUUAACAGAAGGCAGGAGCAUCAGAACCUAUCAGAGAGUUGAAGCUCCUGUUGCUGCUCUGUAUAGCCAUUUUUUGAUUGUGGUGAACGCUGUUUAGAUUUGGCUCUAAACUGGAUGCAACUUCAUUUUCUAUACUGAGUAUCCUUCAGAUUCGGAGGACUAAGGUGGCGUUGUGUUGACUAUACUCCAAAGCUACCACUUUGCUUUGGUGGAAUGUAUUUAUUAUACAAACUAGGCUUUCCUAUUGUAAGUUGAAAUGUAAGGGAAGCAUGAUUUGACUUGGAAUUUGAGUGAAAUUUUGAUUAUUCAAA